GAUGAACGCUAGCGGCAGGAUUAACACAUGCAAGUCGAGGGGCAGCAUAAAUAGUAGCAAUACUAUUGGUCGCGACCGGCGGCCGGGUGCGUCACGCGUAUACAACCUUAUCUCCACAGGGGGAUCAACUGGAGCAAUUCGGUCUAAUACUCCAUAACAUCCGCGCAGGCAUCUGGCUGGGUCAAACUUUCCGGUGGUUCUGGAUGGGUAUGCGUAGACUUAGCUAGUGGGUGAGGCAACGGCGCACCAAGGCGACGAUGCUUAGGGGGACUGAGAGGUUAACCCCCCACACUGGUACUGAGACACGGACCAGACUCCUGCGGGAGGCAGCAGUGAGGAAUAUUGGUCAAUGGGCGGAAGCCUGAACCAGCCAUGCCGCGUGCAGGAUGACGGCUCUAUGAGUUGUAAACUGCUUUUGUACGAGGGUAAAGUGGGCUACGUGUAGCCUUUUGAAAGUAUCGUACGAAUAAGGAUCGGCUAACUCCGUGCCAGCCGCCGCAGUAA
rnacentral:rRNA from 1 species